UACGUAGGGGGCGAGCGUUGUCCGGAAUUACUGGGCGUAAAGAGCGCGUAGGCGGCCUUUUAAGUCAGGUGUGAAAACUUAAGGCUCAACCUUAAGAUGGCACUUGAAACUGAGAGGCUUGAGGUCAGGAGAGGAAAGCGGAAUUCCUAGUGUAGCAGUGAAAUGCGUAGAUAUUAGGAGGAACACCAGUGGCGAAGGCGGCUUUCUGGACUGAUUCUGACGCUGAGGUGCGAAAGCCAGGGGAGCAAACGGG
rnacentral:rRNA from 1 species